GAAUGGCUCAUUAAAUCAGUUAUCGUUUAUUUGAUAGUACCUUACUACUUGGAUAACCGUGGUAAUUCUAGAGCUAAUACAUGCUUAAAAUCCCGACUGUUUGGAAGGGAUGUAUUUAUUAGAUAAAAAAUCAAUGUCUUCGGACUCUUUGAUGAUUCAUAAUAACUUUUCGAAUCGCAUGGCCUUGUGCUGGCGAUGGUUCAUUCAAAUUUCUGCCCUAUCAACUUUCGAUGGUAGGAUAGUGGCCUACCAUGGUUUCAACGGGUAACGGGGAAUAAGGGUUCGAUUCCGGAGAGGGAGCCUGAGAAACGGCUACCACAUCCAAGGAAGGCAGCAGGCGCGCAAAUUACCCAAUCCCGACACGGGGAGGUGGUGACAAUAAAUAACGAUACAGGGCCCUUUCGGGUCUUGUAAUUGGAAUGAGUACAAUGUAAAUACCUUAACGAGGGACAAUU
rnacentral:rRNA from 1 species